AGAGUUUGAUCAUGGCUCAGAUUGAACGCUGGCGGCAUGCCUUACACAUGCAAGUCGAACGGCAGCACGGGGGCAACCCUGGUGGCGAGUGGCGAACGGGUGAGUAAUACAUCGGAACGUACCCAGUUGUGGGGGAUAACCCACCGAAAGGUGGGCUAAUACCGCAUGAUCUGGAGACAGCAAAGCGGGGGAUCGGAAACGACCUCGCGCGAUUGGAGCGGCCGAUGUCCGAUUAGCUAGUUGGUGGGGUAAAGGCCUACCAAGGCGACGAUCGGUAGCUGGUCUGAGAGGAUGAUCAGCCACACUGGGACUGAGACACGGCCCAGACUCCUACGGGAGGCAGCAGUGGGGAAUUUUGGACAAUGGGGGCAACCCUGAUCCAGCCAUGCCGCGUGAGUGAAGAAGGCCUUCGGGUUGUAAAGCUCUUUCGGUAGGAACGAAACGGUUACAGCUAAUACCUGUGACUACUGACGGUACUUACAGAAGAAGCACCGGCUAACUACGUGCCAGCAGCCGCGGUAAUACGUAGGGUGCGAGCGUUAAUCGGAAUUACUGGGCGUAAAGCGUGCGCAGGCGGUUAUUUAAGUCAGGUGUGAAAGCCCUGGGCUUAACCUAGGAAUUGCGCUUGAGACUGGAUAGCUUGGAGUGUGGCAGAGGGAGGUGGAAUUCCCGUGUAGCAGUGAAAUGCGUAGAGACGUGGAGGAACACCGAUGGCGAAGGCAGCCUCCUGGGCCAGCACUGACGCUCAUGCACGAAAGCGUGGGGAGCAAACAGGAUUAGAUACCCUAGUAGUCC
rnacentral:rRNA from 1 species